rnacentral:tRNA from 1 species
CCGGGUGUCGAGCAGAGGCAGACUCGCCGUUUUGGCAAAACGGAUACGCCGGUUCGAAUCCGGCCGCCCGGG